AAAAAUUGUCGUGUUUUAAUUGGUAACGUCGCAGAACGUACAUGGUACAAGUUUGUGUUGACUGCAUGGACAAUGGAAUGUAUCUAUUAUAAAUGAUAUGGUGGUGGUAUCCUGCCCCUGCGACGAUCAGCAAGCUACUUUCAGCUGUCGCCGCAUCACACCUGCAACCAUUACAGCUAUGGCAGAUAAGUUAUCUG